UAAGGGGUGGGUAAGGACGGUGCCCGCCGCCGCGUUAAUCCUCGCGCCUUCCUUGGUUGUCUAUUUUAUUGGGCCUUCAACGUUCGUAGCCGGAUUGAUACAUUCGUGGGUAAAUCAACCCGCUCAACUGGUUGAAUUCUGCGAGGCCGGCCAGACUUGGGACCGGGAGAGGUGUGGGGUAUGCUCAGGGUAGGGGUAAAAUCCUGCCAUCCUGAGCGGACCACCUGUUGCGAAGGCGCCACCCUAUAACGGAUCCGACGGACAGGGACGAAACCUACGGGUACGAACCGAAUUAAAUACCCGGGUAUUCUUAGGUGUAAACGCUAAGAACUUCCUGUGGGGGCUCUCCAAGGACUCUCAGUGUCGAAGCGAAGGUGAUAAGUCCACUGCCUGGGAAG
rnacentral:rRNA from 1 species